UAUGUACUCCCUCCGUCCCAAAAUUCUUGUCUUAAAUUUGUCUAGAUACGGAUGUACCUAAUACUAAAACGUGAUUUCAUACAUCCGUAUUUGGACAAAUUUAAGACAAGAAUUUUGGGACGGAGGGAGUACCUU
rfam:Triticum aestivum genome assembly, contig: Triticum_aestivum_CS42_TGACv1_scaffold_577183_7BL